ACUGGUAUUUUAUUAAAAGGAAAAAGGCCCAACUAGGCCCAUUCCAUAACAACAAGAGACAACAGGCCUAAUAAACGGGUCAGACUGUACAAACCGCUCUGGGCCUAAAGCCCAAAACGAAAACCGGAUGAGGAAGGAACUGACAGCUUGCCCACCACGUGUACGAACGCCCAGCAUCCUGAGACACGUGUCAAGGCGAGAGUCAGCCAUCUUUCACCGGCACUGCAACGGAGAGGCGACGGACUUCCGCCGUCAGCAGAACUGAAGCCGAUGAAGAAAGAAACUCAGACAGAGCCUUCUUCACGGUUAGCCAAAUCGCUUCCGGACCAGCCAUUUCCAAAAGAUUCAAUCGUCUUCAAUCAUCCCUUAACCAUCAAUCUUCCAACAUGCAAAUCAGACCGACGAGGUCAAGGAAGGAGAGUCGAUUGGGAAGAAGAAGAGCAGAAACGCCGGCCAGACUAAACCGGGAUAACCCCGAUGAAAAGCCGCCGUCAACACCAAAGACGCGUGACGCGGAGCCAAAAGCCGGCGAUACGGAGCUGAGAAAUACUCCGCAUCCCAAAGUCAAAAGCCAGUCGUUUUCCGCCGGAGAAGAACGCGAGAACGCCGGAGACGAAAGCCGGUCGGAUGGACCGUAACCGGAGAACAAAAAGAGAGACCUCUCUCACUCUCAACACAACUCUAACCUCUCUGAAAGAUAUGGAUUGAUAAGAGAGGAAAAGAUCGAGAGAGAACUCUCUCUCUAGGAGAGGAGAGAGACUCCCUUUGUUUGUUGUAAUCCGUAUUACAAUGUCCUAUGGAGUUUCAAAUAUAAGAGACGUGUAAAAGAAAGAAAAACAUAAUCUUAUCCUAACAUAAGUUUGAUGAGUAUAUUGAUGCGUGUCGACAUAACUCCUUUACAUUUUGUCUACUUUUCAACUUUGUCUUCUCACUAUGUAGAACUACCAAUAUUAACUGAUAACAUUUUGCAAUAUAAAUAAUAAAAAUUAAAUUCAGUUUUUAACUUUUAAAUUUGGAUUAUAGCUCAAAGUCAAAAGUUGUCUCGAUUAUACGACUAGUGAUGGAUUUGUUUUUUCAUUUAUCAAAUAUGAGUGGGGAAAAGAAUUACUUGAUUUGUUGAAGAUAAAAUAUUGUGGAGUAGAAAAGAAGAUGUAUCUUGAUAAUAUUAAAAGUAAGAAGGAAGAUGAGGUGGGCAGCAAAAGUAAAGUACAAAGUUGCAUGAUUGAGAUGGAUGUUUCAUGACCAUAUUAUAUAUAUAUUAUCUGAUUUACAUUUUAUUAACAAAGUUUCAUUCUGUCAAAAAAGGUCUCAUUAUCCUUUUUAACAUGUGAUCAAUUAUACGAAAAUUCAAACUAGCUAACUCUUGGUUUACUAAUUACAGACUUUAACUAUUGGCAUUUUUCUUGGUCACUGUAGAAACCUUGAACGAUGUUUUGUAAAAACUUUAAACGAUGAUAAUAUACGUUGCUAAUCAAAUAUCACAUAUAAAUGUAUGAGUUUCACCUGUCUAUAAUCUACUGAUCUACAUAGGAUUGGAUAUCGAUGUAGUCAUGUGGACACAAAGUCAAGUCCUAUUGGGAUUUACAAGUUACUUCAAGUCGAUGUUUUAAGUUGAUUGAUAACUAAUUUGCAACUGAUUUAACAGAUUGAAUUUGUAAAUCGUGUUAAGGGAAUAAGGCUCACUUGAUGAUAGAAAGCUCUGGUUACCAAAUUACCUAAGUCUUUUUUCCCUGUAGAAACUCAUGUGGGUAUUCUGUUGUUGUUCAUCGAGAGUGCUUCAAGUUGUAGAAAGGGAAGACUAAGAGUUAGAUCGGAUUUUAUAAUACAUAAACGAUCAAAUGGAGUUUUUUUUGUUGGCGAAAUGGAGUUAUUUGUUCUGUGACUGUGCUUCUGUGUAACAAUGUCGCAACUUGCCAAUUUAUUUUUAACAUCUUAAGUAUCUUUGGAAAUAAUAUAAGGAAAAUAAUAGAGAGGGGAAAUUUAUUUAAAAUUAUUAGUGGAAGUUACAUUGGUCCGGAUGAUGCAUGUGGGAACUGUGGGACUAGAGAACCUGCAGGCUACAGUUAAAUGGUUUGAUUUAGUGAUAACAGUUCACUAAAAGCAAGAGUGCUUUUGUAUAUAAACCCAAAAAGUUAGAAUACUUUACAUGUCUUCUAAUGUGGGUUGCCUGCACGAAACAUCUCAUUUCUUAUCUUACUUUCUUCAGCAUUAAUUAUGGGACUAGUGAGUCUGGUGCCACAUAACUGGGUCUCAAGAAGAUGUAUUGACUAUCCAUAUUUGAGCCCAAAUACUGGUUGGAAUCUAAUAGGCCUAACUUUGAGCCAAUUCAGAUGCUCUUUCAUUGAAUCGUUCACGAUCUUCAUUGUCUCGGAUUAUAAUACUUGAAGAGAUUGAUCACCAAGGCAAUCAGCAACAAGAGCAUACGACAUACAAACGACCGAACAAUUCAUUUCAUGAACCAUGGCUAUGACUUAUGAGCCCUGCAUGUUACUUUGUUUCAUUUACAGUAUUCUACUAUUUUACGUUUGAAAAAGAUACUAUAACAUAAUAUAGUUAAACAUAUGGCAGUGUAUUGAAACAAGCAUGUUAUGAGUCUUAUAAGUUAUUACUUACGAGACACAUGUGAUACUGGUUGCUUAGUCCCACCUACAGUAUUUCUACUCGCAUUAUAAUCUAUAUAUAGAGAUCACAGACAUACAAAUUUAGAAGUAGUACACCAUGUUUGUGAAAGAUAAAAGGGGAAAUAAAAAACGUGGACAAAUGAGAUGUAGAUAAGUGUUGUCUAAAGCUAUGGAAAAUAUAUAAAAAUAAAGUGAAAUAGCUUUUGAGUUUUCAUAGGUUUAGAACAAGAGAUGUCCCUAACUAUUAUCAUCCUUCUUUCAUUUUUUUUUCAAAUUUUCGUUCCUUGUCUUUUUCAAUCAUUUGUUUGAACUCUUCUGUUUUUAACUUCUCCCAUUAUUUGUUGGAAAAAGAACUUCACAACGCUAAAUUUUAUCAUGUGCGAAAGAAUCAUAGCUAGAUUAGUGUUUUUACUAAUCAUGUAUGUACCAUUUUUACCGGCCCAAACCAAGAAUAAGUAUACACACAACACCAGGAUCCUGAUAUUUUUUGUGUACAGUUCAUUUUCGAAGUAGAAAAAAAUGGGACACUGAUCUCAUUGAAGAAAAAGGAAAACAUAAUAUCAUUUUCUUAUGAUUUAUCUUAGUUGGGAAAUACAAUAUACAUUUGUCAUUCAUGAUAUAUGUUAUAAUCUUUAAACUUCAAUUUUUCUCUCUUUGUACUCUUUUGUCAUAUAGUUUACAUGUUCAUUUUUGAGAGUGAAGACAUACUUCAAAUUAAUUUGUUGUCCUCUUUCUCUCAGUCACUUCUUAAAGUACACUUGGUUGAUCAUAUCUUAUCCUUGAAGAUGCCUCCUCUCUUUUUAUAUUGUUUAAUUUAUUUUUGUGUGAAUGGCCACCUCGUCUGUUUAAUAUAUUUAAUCGUCGUGUUAGAUUAAUGAUAUGUUUUGUUAGAGUAUCAAACCGAUCUGAAACGAAAACAUUAUACCUUAUGUCUUAAAAAAAUCAAUGGUUUGUAAAUCGAAUAGGCCAAGAACACCAAAUAAGGUAACUAGAGUUUUCUUUUAAUUAGUUGUGGAUUUGGCUCGGUGAAACUGAGAGAGGAGUGCUAAAAGAAAACACGUGGUUGGUGAACAUAAUAAAAGGCCUUCAAAUGUCGACAACAAAGGUACAAACCAAUACACAUACACAAAAUCGAAAGCACAAAAAAGGAGAGUGUUGAGUGGUGGACAUUCAAUCUUCUUUAGGCUCCAGAUUCAAACUCGAGACAAACAAAACCCACCCGCUCACUAUGUUAAGUUAAAUAUUAACCCAACAAAUGGUACAAAGGGAAAACGACCUAUUUCCACACCAGAAGUUUCAUAUAGUAACAGUUCCACACGAUCUUUCAACCUCGUCUUAAUUGCACAUAUAUAGAAGUUGUACAACCUAUUUCCCCACAAUGUCAAAGUUCGAAACCCGAACCCACAUGGCUUCGGUUAUUCAUCAAUUUAGUGGUUCAGAAGAGGUAACCAAACCGAAAGACAUAAAAUAACCCGACCAGAGAUCCUAUUUUAACCCGGUUGGAAUCCAGUUUUAAAAACCCCCAAUUAUACGAACCCUAAAAACGAACCCAGAACUCUCUCCUUCAGCUGGUGAAAAUCGAAAAUGAGCAACAAAAGUGGAGCUUCGUCAGGGACGUCGAAACAGACAUAAAAUCUGUUGAACACAUCAAAUCCUUCCUUGUUUUUCACACAAUCUAACUCAACUGACGAGUUCUCAUUUGACACCUUUAUCUCUGAGCAAUAAUCACGAAGGCGACUAAACUGCUCAUCAUACUCUCGUUCAAUCCACCUUAAUGCUUUGUUCCUAGCAUGUUGACAUUGAGGCCUUGUCACAGUAAGCUUCCAUUUCUCCAUCACUAACUCCUCAAUCUUCAUUGGCAUGAAGUAUUCGGGUUCUUCUCGAAUCUUGUCAACAAACAGCCGUGCAAUCACCGGAACUUUCAGCAGCUCACAUGUACCAGUGGGAACACAACUAUGAGCUUCCUUCAAUAUCUUCACUUGCCACUUGUUAGGAGACUUUCCCGAAGAUGAGCAGUAUAUGCGCCAACUACAGCCUUUCCCCGAACAGACAAACUCCAGCUUCGUCUUAUCAUACCGGUUUUGUUUGAUGUUUCGGCCAGAUUUCAGAGCAUAGUCUACCACAGCUUCCUUGAACGCAAUACCACUGAUGAAUACUUGUCCUUCAUACAAGUCACCAUCGCCUCUCCUAAUAUCGCUGCGCCUAUACAUUUUCCUCUGAAUUUCUUUUCCUUCUUCUUCUUCAUCAUCUUCUGUCUCCGGAUACUCGUUGUGUCUGACCGAAGGUUCAUCUACAAAUUCACCAACAUCUUUCUCAAUGUUAAAGUCGUUACGCUCACGUCGAUUUUCACCAUCAGAAUCGUAACCUUUGUCGAAUUCAGGGACGUCAUUCCACUCAACAUUCACAUCAAUCCCUCCUUCCUGAGUCAUUCUACAAGAAAAAAAAAACUAAGAUUAUCAUACUAGAUACUCGAAAUUGAAACAAAGAGUAAGCAAAAUUGAUUUAGUUCAAAACAGAGAGUAAGUAUAAUGGAAACUCGAAAAGGAAGAAGAUGAGGUGACAAACUCACCUGACAUAACCGAUCAGGCAGAAAGAACAGUCGACGAAAUUGAUUCAAAGCUUCAGUCUUGCCUAGGGUUCACGACACUUGAGAGAGAUAAACAGAAUUGGGGUUUUUUCUGGUUAAUAAAAACUGAGUUAGUUGAAUUACGGUUUAAAUAACAAAUCGGGACGAAACCCCCUUGACAAACGGAUUGGUUCAAUCCAUAAUUCAUUUAAGUUAAUGUUUUUUUUUUUUUUGACAGCAAAGAAUUUACAGACUCAUGUUGACUCUGUAAACCAAAUCGGUAACUCCGCAUCCAUGUGAACGACAAAGGACGAUUGUUUCCUAGCACUAUAUAUAUUUAUCAAUCAAUAUAUCAUUUUCUGUUUUCUAAAAACUACAUUAGAAAUAUUUUAAUAUACAUAUAAAUUUACUAUAAUUUACACCCUAUUAUAUCUACAAUGUGUAGUAAAAUUCUAAUGUGAAAUUAAAUUUUAAGUAUAAAAACGAAUAAAUGAUGCAAACAUUGACAUAAACUCAAAGAGGAAAAUAUUUAUAAAUCAUAGAACACAUAUAAACUAAUGUAUUUUGAAAAAUAGGGGUCUUUAAAUUUUGAUGAAAAAUGGGGCCUGAGGCCACUGCCUUUUUCCAUUGCCAUAAGCAACAUGAGCACAAUUGUUAGAUAAAGUUAUUGCAGAUUGAUCAAAAAAAAAAGUUAUUGCAGAUAAGUACGAGUUUAAAUCAAAUUUGAAGAAAGAAAAUGAUGAUGCUUCUGAUAGCUUUUGAAUAGUCAGAUGUGAAGAGCUAAACAAAAGAUAUAAUCUUAAAGGUUAUUGCAUCACCAAAUUUCAGUAAAAUAAAAGGUUAUUGCAUCAUGCUAAUGGGCGCAGAUUCGUGACGCCAUCACGUUGACGUCGUCAUGUAGAAUUAUAUCCGAGAGAGAGGGUUUUAGACGGACGACUUAGAAUGGUCUUUAUAAUGUGAGCCUGUGAGGUCUCAUUAAUCCAUUCAGGACCAAUAAACCACAAGUACUAUCUGAUCCUUUUCCGUCCAUGAAGACUUAUUUAACUAACUUUUCCUUGAGCCCAAACUAUUUUCUUCAUCAACAAUAUUAUCAUAAAUGGAUGGUUAAGCGGUAAGCCUGACCAAUAUCUUUGUUGGUUACAUGACCAAUUCAAAAUGAAAGUAAUUCUACGAUCGAAGGAAAAUAAAAACAAACUUAUUUGAAACCAGUUACGUUUUGUUUGGAAUCAAAAAACCAGUUACGUUUUAAAAUUAGUUCUACGAUAAAGAAAAAAAUAUCCCAAGACGAUUUUUUUAAUAAUAAUUUCUAUGAUUCCAUCUUUGUCAAGCUACAGCCUACAGGCCAUAAAUAAAAACUCAUGCAUAUUUAAAAGGUUGAAUAAUUUUAUGGAACAACCAAAUCUUUCAGAAUCUGCACUGAAUAGUGGUUAGUAAUUUUUUUGUACCAUUGAUUCAUUGUGUGCUGAAAGAAACGGAAUAGUUGAAUUAAAAUGACACUAAACUAUUCACUUUUGAGCAAAAAAAAAACAGGUCGGUGUCGAUCCUGUCGGAGCCGCCCAAGGUGGCAACUUGUUCACACCAUAAAGCCUCACUCAAGUUGGAAGUCGCGGUCGAGUCCGGUCAAGAUUUGUCACCCUUUCCCCGUGUGGGUCCUGCCUCUUUGUCUUUUUCUCCACCAAAAUUUCCACGUUUUUGUAUUCUCCUCCACCAAAUUUUUUAUUAUUGUCGACUGAUAUAUUUAUAUAUUUUUAAAAUUUUUAAGAUUAAAUCAAAAAAAUUUGGUUAAAUCUCACAAUACAUUAGAGCUCUACACGGAUGGGAUAUCUGAAUUUUAAAAAAAAUAUUUGCGAUUUACUUUGUAUAUUACGGAUAUCUAAUUUUCAUUUUAUUUUGCUUUAGAAAAAUAUAAAUAUCCAAAAAAUAGAUAUCUAAAAAAUAAAUAGAUAUUUACGGAUAUUUACGAAUACUUACGGAUAUCUUAUUCGUUUAGAUUAAUACAAAUAAUCUUAAAAAUUUGAUACAAAUUUGUUUUGUAAACUUUUUUUGCAUGGUAUAUAAAAUAAAAAUUAAAAGAAAUAGUGAAUCUACAUAUUUGGUAAAAAGUUUAAAUUUAGUUAACAACUAUAAUAACACAAAAUUUAAGAAAAAGUUAUAAUUAUCAUAAUUUUUUUUCUCUUUUUUUAUAUGAUACUUUUAUAUAAGUAAUAAUGUGAAUAUAAUUUGUCAAAUCAUAUAUUAAAAUAAUAAUUAUAUAAUUUUAUACAUUUAAAACUUUAAAUAUAAUCAAAAUAUACAUGUAUUUAUAUAUUGCUAGAUUGGAACGGAUAUCUGCUUUUCAAAAUUUUAAUAUUUAUGAUUUGUUUCGAUUUUAACGGAUAUUUUGGAUUAAGUAUUUGCUUUGAUUCAAAAAUUUACGGAUAUCCAGAAUUUUUGGAUCAAUCAAAACAAAUAUGAAUCGGAUCAAAUUUAACGGAUAAAAUAUCGAGUCCUACUAUACAUCUUCCCAUCGAUAAACAAAUGCCUUUCUCUGAAAAGGAAUCAAAUUAAGAGAGGGUUCAAAGAUGAACGUUAUAAUAUCAUAAAUAUAUCUAUAUUAAAUAUAUGUUCCAAAAAAAUAUCUGUACUAAUAUAUACAGUUAUUGUCGUGUAUUCUUUUUUUUUUUCCACUGAUAUUUUAUUAAAAGCAAAAAGCUCAACUAAGCCCAUUCCAAAAACAUAACAUGAGACAACAGGCCCAACAAACGGGCAAGACUGUACAAACCGCUCUGGGCCUAAAGCCUAAAACGAAAACCGGAUGAGGAAGGAACUGACAGCUUGCCCACCGCGUGUACGAACGCCCAGCAUCCUGAGACACGUGUCAAGGCGAGAGUCAGCCAUCUUUCACCGGCACUGCAACGGAGAGGCGACGGACUUCCGCCGUCAGCAGAACUGAAGCCGAUGAAGAAAGAAACUCAGACAGAGCCUUCUUCACGGUUAGCCAAAUCGCUUCCGGACCAGCCAUUUCCAAAAGAUUCAAUCGUCUUCAAUCAUCCCUUAACCAUCAAUCUUCCAACAUGCAAAUCAGACCGACGAGGUCAAGGAAGGAGAGUCGAUUGGGAAGAAGAAGAGCAGAAACGCCGGCCAGACUAAACCGGGAUAACCCCGAUGAAAAGCCGCCGUCAACACCAAAGACGCGUGACGCGGAGCCAAAAGCCGGCGAUACGGAGCUGAGAAAUACUCCGCAUCCCAAAGUCAAAAGCCAGUCGUUUUCCGCCGGAGAAGAACGCGAGAACGCCGGAGACGAAAGCCGGUCGGAUGGACCGUAACCGGAGAACAAAAAGAGAGACCUCUCUCACUCUCAACACAACUCUAACCUCUCUGAAAGAUAUGGAUUGAUAAGAGAGGAAAAGAUCGAGAGAGAACUCUCUCUCUAGGAGAGGAGAGAGACUCCCUUUGUUUGUUGU
rnacentral:lncRNA from 1 species